rnacentral:rRNA from 1 species
GUCCAGACUCCUACGGGAGGCAGCAGUGGGGGAUAUUGCACAAUGGGGGGAACCCUGAUGCAGCGACGCCGCGUGGGUGAAGGAGCGUUUCGGCGCGUAAAGCCCUAUCGGCAGGGAAGAAGGAGGACGGUACCUGACUAAGAAGCCCCGGCUAACUACGUGCCAGCAGCCGCGGGAAUACGUAGGGGGCAAGCGUUAUCCGGAUUUACUGGGUGUAAAGGGGGCGCAGACGGCGGCGCAAGCCAGGAGUGAAAGCCCGGGGCUCAACCCCGGGACUGCAUUUGGAACUGUGCUGCUAGAGUGUCGGAGAGGCAGGCGGAAUUCCUAGUGUAGCGGUGAAAUGCGUAGAUAUUAGGAGGAGCACCGGCGGCGAAGGCGGCCUGCUGGACCGUAACUGACGUUGAGGCUCGAAAGCGUGGGGAGCAAACAGGAUUAGAUACCCCAGUA